rnacentral:rRNA from 1 species
AUUGAACGCUGGCGGCAUGCCUAACACAUGCAAGUCGAACGAGGUAGCAAUACCUAGUGGUGGACGGGUGAGGAAUACGUAGGAAUCUGCCCUUAAGUGGGGGAUAACCCGGGGAAACCCGGAUUAAUACCGCAUGAUUUUGAAAGAACAAAGCAGGGGAUCGCAAGACCUUGCGCUUUUGGAUGAGCCUACGUCGGAUUAGCUAGUUGGUGAGGUAAAGGCUCACCAAGGCGACGAUCCGUAACUGGUCUGAGAGGAUGAUCAGUCACACCGGAACUGAGACACGGUCCGGACUCCUACGGGAGGCAGCAGUGGGGAAUAUUGGACAAUGGGCGAAAGCCUGAUCCAGCAAUGCCGCGUGUGUGAAGAAGGCCUUCGGGUUGUAAAGCACUUUAAGUUGGGAAGAAAAAGCUUUGGCUAAUAUCCAAAGCCUUGACGGUACCGACAGAAUAAGCACCGGCUAACUCUGUGCCAGCCGCCGCAGUAAGAC